CUUCGGGUAGCGUAAGCGGCGGACGGGUGAGUACGCGUAGGAAUCUACCCAGUAGCUGGGGGAUAGCCCGGGGAAACUCGGAUUAAUACCGCAUACGCCCUAUGGGGGAAAGAUGGGCUCUUCUUGAAAGCUAUCGCUAUUGGAGGAGCCUGCGUUGGAUUAGCUAGUUGGUGGGGUAAAGGCCUACCAAGGCGACGAUCCAUAGCUGGUCUGAGAGGACGAUCAGCCACACUGGGACUGAGACACGGCCCAGACUCCUACGGGAGGCAGCAGUCGGGAAUAUUGGACAAUGGGCGCAAGACUGAUCCAGUCCAUGCGGGCUGUGUGUAGUGAAGGAGGCAUGAGGUUGUAGAAGAGCAUUUAAGGGAGUGAACGAACAGGCGUAUGGGUGAAAUAAUCUUGACGUUUUUGAAGUUUAGCUCCAGGAAGAAGCACCGGGUUAAAUCCGUGGCAACAAGCCGGGGUAAUACGGAGGGUGCGAAUGUUAAUUGGAAAUAACUGGGCGUAAAGCGCGCGUAGGCGGGUUGUUAAGUAAGAUGUGAAAGCCCGGGGUAAACUGGGAAUUGGCUUUGAAAUUGGGAAGAUUAGAGUUGCAGGAGAGGGCAGUGGGAUUCCCAGUUGUACGGUGAAA
rnacentral:rRNA from 1 species